rnacentral:rRNA from 1 species
UACGUAGGGUGCAAGCGUUAUCCGGAAUUAUUGGGCGUAAAGAGCUCGUAGGCGGUUUGUCGCGUCUGCUGUGAAAACCGGAGGCUCAACCUCCGGCCUGCAGUGGGUACGGGCAAACUAGAGUGCGGUAGGGGAGAUUGGAAUUCCUGGUGUAGCGGUGAAAUGCGCAGAUAUCGGGAGGAACACCAAUGGCGAAGGCAGCUCGCUGGGACGUUACUGACGCUGAGACGCGAAAGCGUGGGGAGCAAACAGG